GUGAGGAAUAUUGCGCAAUGGAGGCAACUCUGACGCAGCCAUGCCGCGUGCAGGAAGAAGGCGCUACGCGUUGUAAACUGCUUUUAACCGGGAAGAAACCCCAGGACGUGUCCUGGGUUGACGGUACCGGAGGAAUAAGCACCGGCUAACUUCGUGCCAGCAGCCGCGGUAAUACGAAGGGUGCAAGCGUUAUCCGGAUUCAUUGGGUUUAAAGGGUGCGUAGGCGAAGCGUUAAGUCAGUGGUGAAAUCCUGCAGCUUAACUGUAGACUUGCCAUUGAUACUGGCGCUCUUGAGUGCGCUUGAAGUGGGCGGAAUGUGCCGUGUAGCGGUGAAAUGCUUAGAUAUGGCACAGAACACCAAUUGCGAAGGCAGCUCACUAAGGCGAUACUGACGCUGAGGCACGAAAGCGUGGGGAUCGAACAGGAUUAGAUACCCCUGUAGUCC
rnacentral:rRNA from 1 species